GUGUUGUCGAAUCUGCAACUUGUCUCUCCUGCUACUGGUUCUCUCUUCCUCUCAUUGUCUCUCCUUCUGUAGUCUCAAUUUUGAAAUUUAAGUUUUAAAUAAUUUUGAAUGAAUUUUGCCAACCUACAUUCUAGCUAUGCAGUUUCAGAAUCUCUUUUGUAUCAUGCCUCGGGUCAAUCCACCAUAUCUGUCACCAAGGUCCACUCGAGAGCACUGUUAGAUAAGGGGGAGCUAACUCGUAUGUGCUGGAACCAAGGGACAGGGGGUCAGUCUAUCGCUAGACUUAAUGUUCUGAUAGGCAUAGCUAAAACGCAAGGAAGGUUUUCAUAAUUUAAUUAACGAUAACGAUUUAAAUGAAUGAUAACAAAUCAAUCAAUAAACAAUGCCAAAUAAUAAUAAUCUAAUUAAAGUACAAAGUAUCAAUUCAAAAUAACAAAUCCAAAGUAAAACUAUUUCUCUUUAAAAUGUAAAAUAUAAAAUAAAUGCCAAAAUUACUAAAUCAUAAAAUGUACUUAAUCUCAAUUUCAGAAUGUAAAAGUCUCAAAAUAAAAGUUUCUCAAAAGUAUAAUUUUCUAAAGUUAAAUUAUGAGUCAGAGAUAAAUUUUGUCUCACACUACACAGUCAACUGGUAGACUGGUAGACAGUCUUAUAGGGCCAGUAUAAUGACAUGAGUAGUGUGAGGUUACGCUUCCGAAACACUGACUGUUAUCUUAAAAAUUCCCAAAAAUAAAAGGUGAGUCAAAAAUACAUUUUUGUCUAAACACUACAAAGUCAACUAGUAGACUGAUCGACAGUCUUACAGAUCCAGUAUAAUAGACUUUAGUAGUGAAAGGUUAGGUUUCCGAAAGGUGACUGCUUUUCCAAAAUUUCACAAUGAUAUUUAUAUUAAAACACAAAAUAACUCAACAU
rnacentral:lncRNA from 1 species